UACGUAGGGACCAAGCGUUGUUCGGAUUUACUGGGCGUAAAGGGUGCGUAGGCGGCGCGGUAAGUCGGGUGUGAAAUCUCGGAGCUUAACUCCGAAACUGCAUUCGAUACUGCCGUGCUUGAGGACUGGAGAGGAGACUGGAAUUUACGGUGUAGCGGUGAAAUGCGUAGAUAUCGUAAGGAAGACCAGUGGCGAAGGCGGGUCUCUGGACAGUUCCUGACGCUGAUGCGCGAAAGCCAGGGGAGCAAACGGG
rnacentral:rRNA from 1 species